rnacentral:rRNA from 1 species
UACAGAGGGGGCAAGCGUUGUCCGGAUUUAUUGGGCGUAAAGAGCGUGUAGGCGGCCAUACAGGUCCGUUGUGAAAACUGGAGGCUUAACCUCCAGACGUCGAUGGAAACCGUAUGGCUAGAGUCCGGAAGAGGAGAGUGGAAUUCCCUGUGUAGCGGUGAAAUGCGUAGAGAUGGGGGAGAACACUCGUGGCGAAGGCGGCCAGCUAGACCAGUUCUGACACUGAGGCGCGACAGCGUGGGGAGCAAACAGG